AUUGAACGCUGGCGGCAUGCCUUACACAUGCAAGUCGAACGGCAGCACGGGUGCUUGCUCCUGGUGGCGAGUGGCGAACGGGUGAGUAAUACAUCGGAACAUGUCCUGUAGUGGGGGAUAGCCCGGCGAAAGCCGGAUUAAUACCGCAUACGAUCUACGGAUGAAAGCGGGGGACGUUCGGGCCUCGCGCUAUAGGGGUGGCCGAUGGCUGAUUAGCUAGUUGGUGGGGUAAAGGCCUACCAAGGCGACGAUCAGUAGCUGGUCUGAGAGGACGACCAGCCCCAUUGUCACUGAGCCACGGCCCAGACUCCUACGGGCGGCAGCAGUGGGGAAUUUUGGACAAUGGGCGACAGCCUGAUCCAGCCAUCCCGCGUGUGUGAAGAAGGCCUUCGGGUUGUCAAGCACUUUUGUCCGGAAAGAAAUCCUUGGCCCUAAUACGGUCGGGGGAUGACGGUACCGGAAGAAUACGCCCCGCCUCACUACCUG
rnacentral:rRNA from 1 species